rnacentral:rRNA from 1 species
UACGGAGGGUGCAAGCGUUAAUCGGAAUUACUGGGCGUAAAGGGUGCGCAGGCGGCCGUGUGUGUGAGGCGUGAAAGCCCGGGGCUUAACCCCGGAAUUGCACCUCAAACUACACGGCUAGAGCAUUGGAGAGGGUAGCGGAAUUCACGGUGUAGCAGUGAAAUGCGUAGAUAUCGUGAGGAACACCAGAGGCGAAGGCGGCUACCUGGACAAUUGCUGACGCUCAGGCACGAAAGCGUGGGGAGCAAAAGGG